AUGACCUCUAGGGUCAUCAAUACUGAAUGCGUUUUGAUUUCAGGUGGCAGAAAAGGCCCCCAAAUCCAGCUGAGAUCACCACUAUUUCUGUAUAUACAGAUUGAGGCUUAACUGCAUGGAGUAGUUUUUUAUUGUUUCUGUCCAGGAGGAUGAAGCAAGGAUUCUGAUUUAAUAAAUGAUGUGUGUGAGACAUGGAUGAUGACAAGCAAUCAUUGAUUUACCCAGCUCUAGUUUUCAAACGCUGCAAUUGUUUUCCUAUUUUGUGGCCACUGUAUCUGAAACUAUAUCAUAUGUAAGGAGAAGUCCAAAGCAUGCCAGCAGAACAGGAGCACUCGACCAAUCCUU